GUAGGUGAACCUGCGGAAGGAUCAUUCAUAAUUUGUUUGUUCUUCUUGAACCAAUGUUCACUUUGCUGGCUUCGGCUAGCAACAGUCUACCUAUUCAGGUUGUUACUGUCAGUGAAAUACCUAAAUAUCUUAAAUUUUCAACGAUGGAUAUCUAGGCUCCUAUACCGAUGAAGAACGCAGCGAAAUGCGAUACGCAAUGCGAAUUGCAGAACCGCGAGUCAUCAGAUUUUUGAACGCAAGUGGCGAUGGUUUCGGCCAUCAUGUUUGUUUCAGUGUAUCCGGUUAAUUACAUCAAAGAACUUAAUGUGAUUGAGGAAGCUCUCUCACCAAGUAGGAAGUCACUUCAACGCGACGCCUAACCGAAGCAGUCACUAACUGGUGAUAAUCGUUUAGAGCCAAGCGCUGGUAAGCAGUGACUUGAUGAGAAUUUAUCCACUAAUGUACCGAAAAAGCA
rnacentral:rRNA from 1 species